rnacentral:rRNA from 1 species
CCUACGGGGGGCAGCAGUGGGGAAUAUUGGACAAUGGGGGCAACCCUGAUCCAGCCAUGCCGCGUGUGUGAAGAAGGCCCUCGGGUUGUAAAGCACUUUCAGUGAGGAAGAACGCCUGGUGGUUAAUACCCAUCAGGAAAGACAUCACUCACAGAAGAAGCACCGGCUAACUCCGUGCCAGCAGCCGCGGUAAUACGGCGGGUGCGAGCGUUAAUCGGAAGUACUGGGCGUAAAGCGCGCGUAGGUGGCUUGAUAAGCCGGUUGUGAAAGCCCCGGGCUCAACCUGGGAACGGCAUCCGGAACUGUCAAGCUAGAGUGCAGGAGAGGAAGGUAGAAUUCCCGGUGUAGCGGUGAAAUGCGUAGAGAUCGGGAGGAAUACCAGUGGCGAAGGCGGCCUUCUGGACGGACACUGACACUGAGGUGCGAAAGCGUGGGUAGCAAACAGGAUUAGAUACCCUGGUAGUC